rnacentral:misc_RNA from 1 species
AACGCAUCUUGCACCCUUUGGUAUUCCGAAGGGUAUGCCUGUUUGAGUGUCGUUGAAUUCUCAAAAGAACCUAGGUUUCGAUCAGGGCUCUUUUGGACUGUGAGGGCUGCUGGUCUCUUUAGAUCAGACUCCCUUUAAAUACAUUAGUGGCUACCGAUCCGCUUCCACUUUGGUGUGAUAGGUCUAUCUACGCCGGUUGGAAUGAUCAGUUGCUAUCCGCUUCUAACCUUGUCCGUCUUGGACAAAGCCUUCUUUGACAAUUCGACCUCAAAUCAGGUAGGACUACCCGCUGAACUUAA